ACAACUUUCAACAACGGAUCUCUUGGCUCUCGCAUCGAUGAAGAACGCAGCGAAAUGCGAUAACUAAUGUGAAUUGCAGAAUUCAGUGGAUCAUCGAGUCUUUGAACGCACCUUGCGCCCUUUGGUACUCCGAAGGGCAUGCCUGUUUGAGUGUCA
rnacentral:rRNA from 1 species